GUUGCCCGUUGGUCCGAAACUCCCACCGAAAUGCGUCAGUCGCCGGGCGCGCUCCGGCGGGUGUGUGGGUUCAUUCAUCAGGCACCCGGCACCGAUCGGGCGAGUCGUCCGGCGGCGGCGUGUGCUGAAGGAAAAGCGAGCGAGAAAAAAAAAAAGAAGAGAAAAAACCUUAAAAACCGAUCGCGCGUGAGUGUGCGCGCGCCCGCGGUGGUGCUGUUCAGUCGUAGUCCGAUCGUUUCGUUGUUGCCGUCGUCUAUCGUUUUACUCUCCCUCGAUUCAUUCGUUCCCGACGGCGUUGUCGUUAGUGGCGGCGUUUACACCCCCGAAGAAAGACGGCCUAAGGAUAUCGCGCUUAUCACUGUUAGACGAAUUGCCUAUCACUAGAUGGGAACAAUGAAAACAACAAGCGUUCAGUUAAAAAUUUUCGCUAGAUUUAACUAAAACAAAAAAGAAAGAAAAACGAGUUUUAUUCAUUGACCAACACACGAAGCCUUAUAAUAUUGUUACCAGACACCGGUAGUAUGAGACUGUAAGCCACCAGGUAUCGGGUUUCGACAGUCGUCUUGCAUUACCACGUGUUCCCACCCAUCAACCCUGAGGAAAUUGUACUCGCAUGGGAAUGGAAACAAAUGAGUACCUGCCUACUGUUAUAUUUUAUGCAACGUCGCUGCUGCACACCUUUUCCCUCUAUAUGCGAUAAUAGGAUAGAUCAUCAUAGAACAAAACUAUUUUGCGUAUAUAAGUCAAAGGAUUCCCGACGGACAAGCACAGUAUUCACAACACUCUUCUUUUGGAUGUAUCAAAGUGUAUCCAUACAUAGUAUAUAAAACGAGAGCUGUGUAUUCGGAUUGUUAAACGUCAGUGAAUACUGGUUUCGUAGUGGUGCAUAGAAGUAAUUUUUGAACUAGUCUAGCACCAUUUGAAACCAGUACUUAUUGAUGUGACGUCUUCAGAAGAUCUUAUUCAUUUAGUAGAGAAAAGUGACAUACACGUUGGAUGAAGACUGCAAAAAGACAAAUGCAGUCAUGUGUUAAUAAACAGUAAGCAAAGGAAUUUAAUUUUCAUAAGACACAAAACAGUAAAUAAACAGCAAAAUGCACAUGCUUUGAAGAAAAAUAAAUGCCUUGAUAUUUAAAUGUUGUUUUCACAUAUAAAUUUUGCUACUUUAAACAUUACAGAUUUUAAUCCAACAGUAAAUUGAUUGAUUAAACAGUAACACAAAAAAAAAGAAUAUUUUAUUAAAAAAAACUGAAAGAAUAUAUAAAUAGUUAAACAUGGGUUGA